rnacentral:misc_RNA from 1 species
GAUGAAGAACGUAGCGAAAUGCGAUACUUGGUGUGAAUUGCAGAAUCCCGUGAACCAUCGAGUCUUUGAACGCAAGUUGCGCCCGAAGCCAUUAGGCCGAGGGCACGCCUGCCUGGGCGUCACACGUCGUUGCCCCCCCAUCUACUCCUUCGGGAUUGCGGGGGGCGGAUGAUGGCCUCCCGUGCGCCUCGCCGCGCGGUUGGCAUAAAUGCCAAGUCCUCGGCGACGCACGCCACGACAAUCGGUGGUUGCGAAACCUCGGUUGCCCGUCGUGUGCGGUCGUCGCGCAUCGAGGGCUCGAAAAAAUUGCCGGGCUCCGGCUCGGCUUUCAACGCGACCCCAGGUCAGGCGGGGUUACCCGCUGAAUUUAAGCAUAUCAAAAGCGGAGGA